rnacentral:rRNA from 1 species
AGCACCACGCCGCGUGUGGGAAGAAGGUCUUCGGAUUGUAAACCCCUUUCAGUGGGGAAGAAGCGCUGGUGACGGUACCUGCAGAAGAAGCACCGCGCUAACUACGUGACACGCAGCCGCGGCUAAUACGUAAGGUGCCGAGCGUUGUUCCGGAAUUACUGAGCGUAAACAGCUCGUAGGCGGUUUGACACGCCCGUCUGUGAAAUCCCUCAGCCUAACCUGAAAGCCUCCAGGCUCAUACUGGCAAACUUCAACUACUACCUGGGAGACUGGAAUUCCGGGAGGAACGGAGAAAUCCCCAGAUAUCAGGAGAAACCCAGAGAUCAAGGCGAAUCCCUGGGUAGUAACUGACCUUCAGGACUGAAACUGUGGCUAACGAACAAGAUUAUAUACCCUGGAAAUCCUUACAUACCAUGGUGGGCGCUACGUGUGACGACCUUCACUAGACUCUGUGACCCAUCUAACCUAUUAGGCGCCCCUCCUGCGAAGUACCGCCGCAAGGCUAAGACUCGAAGAAUUGACGGGGGCCCGCAAAGCGGCGGA